UACGUAGGGGGCAAGCGUUGUCCGGAUUUAUUGGGCGUAAAGAGCGUGUAGGCGGCCGCACAGGUCCGUUGUGAAAACUGGAGGCUUAACCUUCAGACGUCGAUGGAAACCAUCCAGCUAGAGUCCGGAAGAGGAGAGUGGAAUUCCCGGUGUAGCGGUGAAAUGCGCAGAUAUCGGGAAGAACACCCGUGGCUAAGGCGGCUCUCUAGUACGGUACUGACGCUGAGAUGCGAAAGCGUGGGGAGCGAACAGG
rnacentral:rRNA from 1 species